rnacentral:rRNA from 1 species
GAUGAACGCUGGCGGCGUGCCUAAUACAUGCAAGUCGAGCGAACGGACGAGAAGCUUGCUUCUCUGAUGUUAGCGGCGGACGGGUGAGUAACACGUGGAUAACCUACCUAUAAGACUGGGAUAACUUCGGGAAACCGGAGCUAAUACCGGAUAAUAUUUUGAACCGCAUGGUUCAAAAGUGAAAGACGGUCUUGCUGUCACUUAUAGAUGGAUCCGCGCUGCAUUAGCUAGUUGGUAAGGUAACGGCUUACCAAGGCAACGAUGCAUAGCCGACCUGAGAGGGGGAUCGGCCACACUGGAACUGAGACACGGUCCUGACUCCUACGGGAGGCAGCAGUAGGGAAUCUUCCGCAAUGGGCGAAAGCCUGACGGAGCAACGCCGCGUGAGUGAUGAAGGUCUUCGGAUCGUAAAACUCUGUUAUUAGGGAAGAACAUAUGUGUAAGUAACUGUGCACAUCUUGACGGUACCUAAUCAGAAAGCCACGGCUAACUACGUG